GACGAACGCUGGCGGCGUGCUUAACACAUGCAAGUCGAACGGUGAAGCGCCUUCCUUUUUGGUGGGUGUGGAUGAGUGGCGAACGGGUGAGUAACACGUGAGUAACCUGCCCCCUUCUUCUGGAUAACCGCAUGAAAGUGUGGCUAAUACGGGAUAUUCUGGGUCUGUCGCAUGAUGGGUCUGGGAAAGAUAUUGUUUCGGUGGGGGAUGGGCUCGCGGCCUAUCAGCUUGUUGGUGGGGUGAUGGCCUACCAAGGCGGUGACGGGUAGCCGGCCUGAGAGGGUGGACGGUCACACGGGGACUGAGACACGGCCCAGACUCCUACGGGAGGCAGCAGUGGGGAAUAUUGCACAAUGGGCGCAAGCCUGAUGCAGCGACGCCGCGUGAGGGAUGGAGGCCUUCGGGUUGUGAACCUCUUUCGCCAGUGAAGCAGGCCUGCCUCGUUUGUGGGUGGGUUGACGGUAGCUGGGUAAGAAGCGCCGGCUAACUACGUG
rnacentral:rRNA from 1 species